CCCCUAGAUGUUCUGGGCCGCACGCGCGCUACACUGAACAGUUCAACAAGUCUUAACCUUGGCCGAUAGGUCUGGGUAAUCUUUGAACGCUGUUCGUGACUGGGAUAGACCUUUGCAAUUAUGGGUCUUCAACGAGGAAUUCCUAGUAAACGCAAGUCAUCAGCUUGCAUUGAUUACGUCCCUGCCCUUUGUACACACCGCCCGUCGCACCUACCGAUUGAAUGGUCCGGUGAAUAAUUCGGACUGCAGCACUGCUUGGUCUCCAGGCUUUGCAGCGGAAAGUUUAGUGAACCUUAUCACUUAGAGGAAGGAGAAGUCGUAACA
rnacentral:rRNA from 1 species